UACGGAGGGGGCUAGCGUUGUUCGGAAUUACUGGGCGUAAAGGGCGCGCAGGCGGCUGCUCAAGUCAGGCGUGAAAGGCCUGGGCUCAACCCGGGAACUGCGCUUGAGACUGGGCUGGCUUGAGUGCGGGAGAGGAUGGUGGAAUUCCCAGUGUAGAGGUGAAAUUCGUAGAUAUUGGGAAGAACACCGGUGGCGAAGGCGGCCAUCUGGACCGCAACUGACGCUGAGGCGCGAAAGCGUGGGGGGCAAACAGG
rnacentral:rRNA from 1 species